GUUCGUCCAGGCGCUCGGGCGGGCGGUCGUCGCCCGCGGCGCGACGAUCCGGCUGUUCGAGGCGGCGGGCGUGCGC
rnacentral:tRNA from 1 species